GGUCGGCUCGGCCGGAUUUUACACAAGUGUUGCAUGGCUGUCGUCAGCUCGUGUCGUGAGAUGUUGGGUUAAGUCCCGCAACGAGCGCAACCCUCAUCCUUAGUUGCCAUCAGGUAAUGCUGAGUACUUUAAGGAAACUGCCAGUGAUAAGCUGGAGGAAGGUGGGGAUGAUGUCAAGUCAUCAUGGCCCUUAUGGAGUGGGCUACACACGUGCUACAAUGGUGAUUACAAUGGGCUGCAAGGUCGCAAGGCUGAGCUAAUCCUAAAAAAUCAUCUCAGUUCGGAUUGUUCUCUGCAACUCGAGAGCAUGAAGUUGGAAUCGCUAGUAAUCGUGGAUCAGCAUGCUACGGUGAAUACGUUCCCGGGUCUUGUACACACUGCCCGUCACGCCAUGGUAAUUGGUUUCACUCGAAGCU
rnacentral:rRNA from 1 species